rnacentral:rRNA from 1 species
UACGGAGGGUGCGAGCGUUGUCCGGAAUCAUUGGGCGUAAAGGGCGCGUAGGUGGCCCGCUCAGCGUGCGGUGAAAGCUCGGGGCUCAACCCCGAGUCGGCCGUGCGAACUGGUGGGCUGGAGCACUGUAGAGGCAGGCGGAAUUCCGGGUGUAGCGGUGGAAUGCGUAGAGAUCCGGAAGAACACCGGUGGCGAAGGCGGCCUGCUGGGCAGUUGCUGACACUGAGGCGCGACAGCGUGGGGAGCGAACAGG